CCGCUCAGCCUAUCGCCGACCGAGUCGGACUUCACUGCGGCUGGUGAUUGGCUGAGGGCAGUAUGACUCAUCCAACCACCGGCAACCAGGAAGAGGAUCCCGGCGGAGACCGGAGUGGGUUACCGGAGGCCCCGGAGGAGCGGAGGAAGUUUACGUCACAUGCCUUGAGAUAUGUGAACACAACAAUCAUUUUCCACUGGUGCUGGAUUGGCCAACCAUCUGGGGCCUCCUGACAACGGCAGAUGAGGGAUUGAAGGCGGGAGCAAUUGGAUUUCAACAUACCUGAUCUUUUUGUCUUAGAGAUAAGCAACCACCAGAUAUAUUUCCCUCUACCCAUUCAGUGGAGAACAGCGGUGAGGAAGAGUCCCUCGGAACACAGAUGGGUUCAGUGGCGCUAACCAGCAAAUGAUGCAACUGAUACUGGACUGAUAAGCAAAUAUAGUAACAAAUUUAUUUGAAUGGACAAUGCAUUUCGAGAGCUGCUCCUCUCUUCAUCAGGUCCUUACACAUAAAUACAUAUAUGUACAUAUAUCUAUGAAUGAUCCAAUGGUGAUAAAUAGAGAUGAGCGAGCCGAAUCGGAUGAAAUCGGAUUUGACCAAAACUCUAGGGUUUUUUCAGGCUCGGUGAACACUCAAGCUUUUAACGAUUUAUCUCGUGUGAGUCGGUAAAUAGCGCAAAAAACUUGAAACCAUGUUUUUUUGGCGGACAGAAGAAGCAAAGCAGGGUGUGGUGAGAUGACGUAGGGAAAGCAGCACAUCACAUGACAACCCAGGUCUCUCAUGUGAUUUGCUGCUUACUGUGUUAACCAAGCACAAAGGCCAACAGGACACAGCCAGGGACACAGAUAAAAGCACUGACGUCACCCACAGCGUUCAGAGCACUGGGAACUUCUGCAGAGAGCAAACAGAGAGGAGAGAGACAGACAUAGGGACAGUUAGUGGUUAGAAAGAGAGACUGAGAUACAGAUUACAAAGAGAGAAGAAAAAGGGACAGUAAGUUAUUAGAAAGAGAGAGGAGACGGUGUGUGUGUGUGUGUGUAUGUGUGUGUGAACAGGAUUCAAUCCCUACACAAGAAGAAUCCUAUAGGGCUUCUAUACACCAAAACAGCAUAUAAGGAGGGAACAUCUUAACCCCUUAAAAACCCCUAUUUUUUGCACAUCUGACCAUUGUCACUUUAAACAUUAAUAACUCUGGAAUGCUUUUAGUUAUCAUUCUGAUUCCGAGAAAGUUUUUUCGUGACAUAUUCUACUUUAACAUAGUGGUAAAAUUUUGUGCUAACUUGGAUCCUUUCUUGGUGAAAA